rnacentral:RNase_P_RNA from 2 species
UAAUACGAGUAAUCGCUGCGGUUGUUAAAAUCGUAGAGGAAAGUCCAUGCUCACACGGAUCUGAGAUGACCGUAGUGUUCGUGCUUACUGAAAAAAUAAGGUAAGGCAAGCAAAUGCUUGACGGCGGAAGGAACUCCUAAGUCUUUUAGAUAUGGACGAAACUUCCUGAAAGUGCCACAGUGACGGAGCUUAUAAUGAAAGUUAUAAGGUGGAACGAGGUAAACCCCAUGAGUGAGAAACCCAAAUUAUGGUAGGGGCACUCUCCUGAAGGAAUUGAACGGAUGGAGGGACGGCUAUUGGCCGUAGAUAGAUGAUUACUACCUACUCGUACGAGACGAAGGUCGUUUGAGUACUUAGGAACAAAACAUGGCUUAUUGUU